AGCGAACGCUGGCGGCAGGCUUAACACAUGCAAGUCGAGCGGGCCCUUCGGGGUCAGCGGCCGACGGGUGAGUAACACGUGGGAACGUACCCUUUGGUUCGGAAUAACGCUGGGAAACUAGCGCUAAUACCGGAUACGCCCUUUUGGGGAAAGGCUUGCUGCCGAAGGAUCGGCCCGCGUCUGAUUAGCUAGUUGGUGGGGUAAUGGCCUACCAAGGCGACGAUCAGUAGCUGGUCUGAGAGGAUGAUCAGACACACUGGGACUGAGACACGGCCCAGACUCCUACGGGAGGCAGCAGUGGGGAAUAUUGGACAAUGGGCGCAAGCCUGAUCCAGCCAUGCCGCGUGAGUGAUGAAGGCCUUAGGGUUGUAAAGCUCUUUUGUCCGGGACGAUAAUGACGGUACCGGAAGAAUAAGCCCCGGCUAACUUCGUG
rnacentral:rRNA from 1 species